rnacentral:rRNA from 1 species
GAUGAACGCUAGCGACAGGCUUAACACAUGCAAGUCGAGGGGCAGCAUAGAAGUAGCAAUACUUCGGUGGCGACCGGCGCACGGGUGAGUAACGCGUAUGCAACCUACCUAUCAGAGGGGAAUAACCCGGCGAAAGUCGGACUAAUACCGCAUAAAACAGGGGCACCGCAUGGUGAUAUUUGUUAAAGAGGUUCGCUGAUAGAUGGGCAUGCGUUCCAUUAGGUAGUUGGUGAGGUAACGGCUCACCAAGCCGACGAUGGAUAGGGGAACUGAGAGGUUGGUCCCCCACACUGGUACUGAGACACGGACCAGACUCCUACGGGAGGCAGCAGUGAGGAAUAUUGGUCAAUGGGCGAGAGCCUGAACCAGCCAAGUCGCGUGAAGGAAGAAGGAUCUAUGGUUCGUAAACUUCUUUUGCAGGGGAAUAAAGUGCAGGACGUGUCCUGUUUUGUAUGUACCCUGAGAAUAAGGAUCGGCUAACUCCGUGCCAGCAGCCGCAGUAACAC